AGUCAUAUGCUUGUCUCAAAGAUUCAUCCAUGCAUGUCUCAGUAUAAGUCUUAACACGGCGAAACUGCGAAUGGCUCAUUAAAACAGUUAUAGUUUAUUUGAUGGUCAAAUCGUUAUAUGGAUAACUGUGGUAAUUCUAGAGCUAAUACAUGCGUACAAACCCGACUUCUCGGAAGGGUUGUAUUUAUUAGAUACAGAACCAAUACGCUCUGCGUUUUUGGAUGAUUCAUAAUAAAUGAACGGAGCACAUGGCUGUGCCGGUGCUGUGUCAUUCAAGUUUCUGACCUAUCAGCUUUCGACGGUAGGGUAUUGGCCUACCGUGGCAUUGACGGGUAACGGAGAAUUAGGGUUCGAUUCCGGAGAGGGAGCCCGAGAAACGGCUACCACAUCUAAGGAAGGCAGCAGGAGCGCAAAUUACCCAAUCCUGACACAGGGAGGUAGUGACAAGAAAUAACAAAGCAAGUCUGUAUCAGAUUUUGCUAUUGGAAUGAGUAGAAUUUAAAUCUCUUUUCGACUAUCAAU
rnacentral:rRNA from 1 species